rnacentral:tRNA from 1 species
ACCUGAGUGGCUCAGUUGGUUGAGCGUCUGACUCAGGCUCAGAUCAUGAUUUCACUGUUUGUGAGUUCGAGCCCCACAUCAGGCU